UACGGAGGGUGCAAGCGUUGUUCGGAAUUAUUGGGCGUAAAGGGCGUGUAGGCGGGUAUGCAGGUCAGGUGUGAAAUCCCUCGGCUCAACCGAGGAAGUGCAUUUGAAACCGUAUAUCUUGAGUACGUGAGAGGCAGAUGGAAUUCCCAGUGUAGAGGUGAAAUUCAUAGAUAUUGGGAAGAACACCGGUGGCGAAAGCGGUCUGCUGGCACGAUACUGACGCUGAGACGCGAAAGCGUGGGGAGCAAACAGG
rnacentral:rRNA from 1 species